UACAGAGGGUGCGAGCGUUGUUCGGAAUUAUUGGGCGUAAAGGGCGCGUAGGCGGCCACUGCAAGUCAGUUGUGAAAUCUCCGGGCUUAACCCGGAAAGGUCAACUGAUACUGCAGGGCUAGAGUGCAGAAGGGGCAACUGGAAUUCUCGGUGUAGCGGUGAAAUGCGUAGAUAUCGAGAGGAACACCUGCGGCGAAGGCGGGUUGCUGGGCUGACACUGACGCUGAGGAGCGAAAGCGUGGGGAGCGAACAGG
rnacentral:rRNA from 1 species